UACGUAGGGUGCGAGCGGUGUCCGGAAUUAUUGGGCGUAAAGAGCUCGUAGGCGGUGUGUCGCGUCGGCCGUGAAAACCUGGGGCUUAACUCUGGGCGUGCGGUCGAUACGGGCAUCACUAGAGUUCGGCAGGGGAGACUGGAAUUCCUGGUGUAGCGGUGAAAUGCGCAGAUAUCAGGAGGAACACCGGUGGCGAAGGCGGGUCUCUGGGCCGAUACUGACGCUGAGGAGCGAAAGCAUGGGUAGCGAACAGG
rnacentral:rRNA from 1 species